CGGGGGUGUGACACCAGUGCGGUGGCACCGCCAUCUGGAACAGUAUCAGGUUGGCCUGCAAAGUUCGGCUCGGCGUUUUUAAGGUUGGAUCAGCGCCUACUGAUUUGUAAAAAUAUUGUACUGCCUUUUGGAGGCCUAAUUCUCACCAGAGGCGUAGACGAGCUAGUGUUAAAAAUUAAUCCAUAAGAGAAAAUGGCCAGGCCGACAGCGCAUGGCUUCCAUGCGGGCAGUGA